rnacentral:rRNA from 1 species
GACGAACCCUGGCGGCGUGCUUAACACAUGCAAGUCGAACGGAAAGGCCCUGCUUUUGUGGGGUGCUCGAGUGGCGAACUGGUGAGUAACACGUGAGUAACCUGCCCUUGACUUUGGUUUAACUUCAGGAAACUGGGGCUAAUACCGGAUAGGCGCUCCUGCUGCAUGUUGGGGGUUGGACAGUUUCGGCGGUUGGGGAUGGACUCGCGGCUUAUCAGCUUGUUGGUGGGGUAGUGGCUUACCAAGGCUUUGACGGGUAGCCGGCCUGAGAGGGUGACCGGCCACAUUGGGACUGAGAUACGGCCCAGACUCCUACGGGAGGCAGCAGUGGGGAAUAUUGCACAAUGGGCGGAAGCCUGAUGCAGCAACGCCGCGUGCGGGAUGACGGCCUUCGGGGUGUAAACCGCUUUCGCCUGUGACGAAGCGUGAGUGACGGUAAUGGGUAAAGAAGCACCGGCUAACUACGUG